CACGAAUUUUAAGCCUAUGUCAACCCUUCUCCUUUGUCUUAUCCCUAUUUUUCCUGUAGGUACCUGACUGUAUACAACGAUCAAACUGCCUUUCCUCACCAUUUUCCUUGAUGUGACACAGUGCAACACUAUCCAUUUUAAGGACUGGAGACCACUUAAUGAGGUGAUACAGGCUGCUCCAAGCCCUCCUGUUCACACGUGGUGAUGGU
rnacentral:lncRNA from 1 species